AGGAGGAAGGCCUCGGGCUGCGUGUUGCUCUGGCAACGAGCGGCCGCGGGUCGUCGAGGCCUUCGCCCCCUGAGGGAAGGGGGAGGGGGGGGGCCGUGAUGGGAGCUCGCCUCAGGGACGGGGACGGGCCGCGGUUCGGGCCCGCCAAAUGGGGGGUGGGGGGCACUGGUUAAGUGCGGUUUAAAGCCUCAAUUAGAAUUAAUCUGGGAAAGCAAUAAUAAUGAAGGAAAUUAAGAAAUUAUGCCAAUAUAUAUAUGUACUGCAGUAUCGUUACUUCUUGGUGGUGAUUAGUGCUCGCUGCAGGGAUGUCCUGCUGUCUGGAAAUUGGUUUUGCCGCCAAGGAAACCUGAGGAAAAUGCUGCCCUAGUUAAUGCUGCUGUAGCUCUUAGAAGAAGCUUAAAAUUAAAUAGAUACAGGUUUUUCUUUCAAAAUAUGCUCUUGAAUAAAUUAGUUUGCAUCCAGAAAGGGCAUCUGUUUUCCUUGGCUCAGAUAUUUUUCUAAAAGUGUUUAGGUAUGCAGCUCACGCUGAGACUGGUGCCUAAUAUCUGAGCAGUUCUGAAAAUCAGUCCUGCAUUGUUUCCAAUUAAGCCAGCAAUACUGUUUGAUCUCAGAAUUUUAAAUACAGAAAUGCUGCGGGGUCAGUAACCCCGGGAGAGGGAAAGGAUGGGCACUUGGACACCAGAGCUCAUGAGGUGAAGAGCUGAGUGGCCUGGUAUUUAGUAACGCAUACCAGCUAACACUAAACCUUCUCUUUUAUAGUUGAGGAAGAAGCUGAAAACACUGGGCACAUCUCUGUUUUUGUUGGAGGUCACUUGCUGAUUUAUCUCCAAUUCACAGUUCAUUAGAAGGAGGGUGCUCAGCCUCUGUGUUUAUCCGCAAGGAAGAGCGGUUCCCAUGGUCAUUAGAAAGAAGUGGAGAAGCUGUUUUCUGAACUGGUCUAUUCUUGUAGCGACGUUGAAGGCUCUGUUAAAUGCAAUUACUCAAAAAAUACUCAGCUGUUAAAGAAUUCUAGGUGUGCAUUAAUUGCUGUUGUAAGACCAUUAUAAAGGUAUUUAGGUCAGAGAUGUACUGUAAUGAUCAUCCACUGUGUAAGAUGCUGGUAUUCUCUAGUGGGUGUGCCUAAAGGUGCCAGAGUUUUUAAUAGAAUCUUUGAAGUUUCUCAAAAUUAUUUUUUUUCCAAUCUAAUGUGUUAAUCUCAAUGUGUGAAUUGUGUGAAUCCUUCUAUUGAAUAAUGACUUCUCCUGUGUGUAAAAACCUAGCCCGAGUGGACUGACUGGGAAGGGGUGGAUGGGUUUGUUAAUUUAUAUUUGAUCUGUAGUACCUGCUUAUAGUUAUGUCCUUAAUUAUUCUUUAUUUUCUGUGGUAAAUAGUAAUAUAUUUUAGGUUCAAAAACCAAAUUAAUGUUCUACCAUAACUAAUGAAAUUGAAGUGUUUAAAAGUUAUAUUUGUUUAUUAAUUUGGGUUAGUGUUUAAUAGUCUUCUACUCAUAAAAUAAAAAGUCUUUCUUUGUAAUUAUUAAGAUUGUCUUCCAUAAAAUGUUUUGUUCGACUGAUUGAUUAUAACCUGAAUAAAUGGUGAGAGAAAGAAUCUU